GACGAAGGAUGCAAGCGUUAUCCGGAUUCAUUGGGUUUAAAGGGAGCGUAGGCGGAUUUGUAAGUCAGUGGUGAAAUCUCCGGGCUCAACCCGGAAACUGCCAUUGAUACUGCAGGUCUAGAGUACAGUUGCCGUUGGCGGAAUAUGACAUGUAGUGGUGAAAUACUUAGAUAUGUCAUAGAACACCGAUUGCGAAGGCAGCUAACGAAGCUGUAACUGACGCUGAGACGCGAAAGCGUGGGGAGCAAACAGG
rnacentral:rRNA from 1 species